ACUCAUGUUAAGCUCAGUCAGUAGAGGAGGAGACAUUUCAUCUCAGGGUUGUGGGUUCAAGCCCCACAUUGAGCA